AAUUGGUGGUGUGGACAUUUCCUUAACAACUCCUUGAAGGGCUCCCAGGCUUCAUACAAUGUCUCCAUCUCAAACUGCACAAAAGUAGUGAUAUCAUUUCGCAUCUU